UGGGGAAUCUUGCACAAUGGGCGAAAGCCUGAUGCAGCGACGCCGCGUGCGGGAUGAAGGCCUUCGGGUUGUAAACCGCUUUCAGCAGGAACGAGGCCGCAAGGUGACGGUACCUGCAGAAGAAGCCCCGGCUAACAACGUGCAAGAAGCCGCGGUAAUACGUAGGGGGCAAGCGUUAUCCGGAUUCAUUGGGCGUAAAGCGCGCGUAGGCGGUUUGUUAGGUCAGGAGUUAAAUCUGGGGGCUCAACCCCUAUCCGCUCCUGAUACCGGCAGGCUUGAGUCUGGUAGGGGAAGGCGGAAUUCCAAGUGUAGCGGUGAAAUGCGCAGAUAUUUGGAAGAACACCGGUGGCGAAGGCGGCCUUCUGGGCCACGACUGACGCUGAGGCGCGAAAGCUAGGGGAGCGAACAGG
rnacentral:rRNA from 1 species